rnacentral:rRNA from 1 species
GAUACAUCCCAUAAAGUUUUACUUUAUAGCGCGUAUCUCAAUAAUUAUAUCAUUGGAGUCUCCAUAAGAUCGUAAGGUUUUAUGGGGUGUAUC